UCCUCCCUCUUUCCUCGUGCUUAACACAUGCAAGUCGAACGGAAAGGCCCUGCUUUUGUGGGGUGCUCGAGUGGCGAACGGGUGAGUAACACGUGAGUAACCUGCCCUUGACUUUGGGAUAACUUCAGGAAACUGGGGCUAAUACCGGAUAGGAGCUCCUGCUGCAUGGUGGGGGUUGGAAAGUUUCGGCGGUUGGGGAUGGACUCGCGGCUUAUCAGCUUGUUGGUGGGGUAGUGGCUUACCAAGGCUUUGACGGGUAGCCGGCCUGAGAGGGUGACCGGCCACAUUGGGACUGAGAUACGGCCCAGACUCCUACGGGAGGCAGCAGUGGGGAAUAUUGCACAAUGGGCGGAAGCCUGAUGCGGCAACGCCGCGUGCGGGAUGACGGCCUUCGGGUUGUAAACCGCUUUCGCCUGUGACGAAGCGUGAGUGACGGUAAUGGGUAAAGAAGCACCGGCUAACUACGUG
rnacentral:rRNA from 1 species